rnacentral:rRNA from 1 species
UACGGGGGGAGCAAGCGUUGUUCGGAUUUACUGGGCGUAAAGGGCGCGUAGGCGGACCACCAAGUCCGGGGUGAAAUCCUUCGGCUUAACCGGAGAAUUGCCUGGGAUACUGGUGGUCUUGAGGGAGGUAGGGGCACGCGGAACUUCCGGUGGAGCGGUGAAAUGCGUUGAUAUCGGAAGGAACGCCGGUGGCGAAAGCGGCGUGCUGGCCCUCUUCUGACGCUGAGGCGCGAAAGCCAGGGGAGCGAACGGG